GAGCGGAUGACGGGAGCUUGCUCCUUGAUUCAGCGGCGGACGGGUGAGUAAUGCCUAGGAAUCUGCCUGGUAGUGGGGGACAACGUUUCGAAAGGAACGCUAAUACCGCAUACGUCCUACGGGAGAAAGCAGGGGACCUUUGGGCCUUGCGCUAUCAGAUGAGCCUAGGUCGGAUUAGCUAGUUGGUGGGGUAAUGGCUCACCAAGGCGACGAUCCGUAACUGGUCUGAGAGGAUGAUCAGUCACACUGGAACUGAGACACGGUCCAGACUCCUACGGGAGGCAGCAGUGGGGAAUAUUGGACAAUGGGCGAAAGCCUGAUCCAGCCAUGCCGCGUGUGUGAAGAAGGUCUUCGGAUUGUAAAGCACUUUAAGUUGGGAGGAAGGGCAGUAAGUUAAUACCUUGCUGUNUUGACGUUACCGACAGAAUAAGCACCGGCUAACUCUGUG
rnacentral:rRNA from 1 species